ACGCUCGACACCUACGGGGGCAGCAGUGGGGAAUAUUGCACAAUGGGGGAAACCCUGAUGCAGCGACGCCGCGUGAGUGAAGAAGUAUUUCGGUAUGUAAAGCUCUAUCAGCAGGGAAGAAGAUGACGGUACCUGAGUAAGAAGCCCCGGCUAACUACGUGCCAGUAGCCGCGGUAAUCUGAGCGGGCUGGCAAGGC
rnacentral:rRNA from 1 species